UACAAAUACAAAAUUAUUGGUUUGGUUAAUUUAGUUAUAUGGAUAGCUAAUCUUUGGGCUGACUUGGUUGACAUUGGUAUAUAGUCUAUGUUAUACUGUUAAAUAACAAGCCUUCUAUUAUCUAUAUUCUAGUUAAUACGUGUGCUUGGGAGUCCUUGCAAUUUGAAUAAACCAAGAUCUUACCAUGACUGCAAUUUUAGAGAGACGCGAAAGUACAAGCCUGUGGGGUCGCUUCUGCAACUGGAUAACUAGCACUGAAAAUCGUCUUUACAUCGGAUGGUUCGGUGUUUUGAUGAUCCCUACCUUAUUGACCGCAACUUCUGUAUUUAUUAUCGCCUUCAUCGCUGCCCCUCCAGUAGAUAUUGAUGGUAUUCGUGAGCCUGUUUCUGGUUCUUUACUUUAUGGAAACAAUAUUAUCUCUGGUGCUAUUAUCCCUACUUCUGCGGCGAUCGGAUUGC
rnacentral:rRNA from 1 species